rnacentral:rRNA from 1 species
UACGGAGGAUCCAAGCGUUAUCCGGAAUCAUUGGGUUUAAAGGGUCCGUAGGCGGUUUAAUAAGUCAGUGGUGAAAUCUGGUCGCUCAACGAUCAAACUGCCAUUGAUACUGUUAGACUUGAAUUACUGUGAAGUAACUAGAAUAUGUAGUGUAGCGGUGAAAUGCUUAGAUAUUACAUGGAAUACCGAUUGCGAAGGCAGGUUACUAACAGUGGAUUGACGCUGAUGGACGAAAGCGUGGGGAGCGAAC